GACGAACGCUGGCGGCGUGCUUAACACAUGCAAGUCGAACGGAAAGGCCCUGCUUUUGUUGGUUGCUCGAGUGGCGCACGGGUGAGUAACACGUGAGUAACCCGCCCUUGACUUUGUGAUAACUUCAGGAAACUGGGGCUAAUACCGGAUAGGAGCUCCUGCUCCAUGGUGGGGGUUGGAAAGUUUGGCGGUUGGGGAUGGAUUCGCGGGUUAUCAGCCUGCUGUGGGGGUAUUGGCUUAUCAAGGCUUUGCAGGGUAGCCGGCCUGAGAGGGUGAACGGCCACAAUGGGACUGAGAUAGGGCCCAGAAUCGUACGGGAGGCAGCAGGGGGGAAUAUUGCGGAAUGGGGGGGAGCCUGAUGCAGCGACGCCGCGUGCGGGAAGACGGCCUUCGGGUUGUGAACCGAUUUCGCCUGGGACGAAGAGUGAGUGACGGUAAUGGGUAAAGAAGCACCGGCUAACUACGUG
rnacentral:rRNA from 1 species